rnacentral:SRP_RNA from 1 species
GGAAGGUUGGCGCUGGGCAGUUUUCUCGCUAAUCCGGUCAGGUCCGAGAGGAAGCAGCCGUAACGAGCUCUUAUCUGGGUCGGCGUUCAACCUUCCGCU